GCUCCGAUCGUCUAGUGGCCAAGGAUGCUGGCCUCUCGAGCCAGUGACCCGGGUUCGAAUCCCGGUCGGAGCA
rnacentral:tRNA from 1 species